rnacentral:snRNA from 1 species
AUUGCUUCUCAGUAAUUUGAUUGAGAUCAAAGUGUAUUUAUCUGCUCUUAUCAGCUUAAUAUCUAAUAAGGAUUCUAUUAAAGACCACGGAUAUUAAAUAGAUUUGCAGAAUAAAAUGAUGAGUUAUAGGUUAGCAGUAUUACAAUUUUUUCAGGAUUCAGGCUAUCUCUC